UUUUAUUGCGUUUGAAUACUACAGCAUGGAAUAACAAAAUUGAACAAGUCAGAAUUCUGUUCUUUUUUCUUAUUUUGGCUUAGUUACGAUUAAUAGGAGUAGCUUGGAGGCAUUUGUAUUCAGAUGUCAGAGGUGAAAUUCUUAGAUUUUCUGGAGACAAACAACUGCGAAAGCAUUUGCCUAAAAUACUUCCAUUAAUCAAGAACGAAAGUUAAGGGAGUGAAGACGAUCAGAUACCGUCGUAAUCUUAACCAUAAACUAUGCCGACUAGGUUUUGGAUGAAAAAUUUUUAAAUAAGAAAAUUCCUUUCGGGGAAAUUUCUUAGAUUGCUUCCUUCAGUACCUUAUGAGAAAUCAAAGUCUUUGGGUUCUGGGGCGAGUAUUCGCGCAAGCGAGAAAGUUAAAAGAAUUGACGGAAGGGCACCACCAGGCGUGGAGCUUGCGGCUUAAUUUGACUCAACACGGGGAAACUCACUAGUUUAAGACAAGAGUAGGAUUGACAGAUUAAUAGCUCUUUCUUGAUUUCUUGGAUGGUGAUGCAUGGCCGUUUUUAGUUCGUGAAUAUGAUUUGUCUGGUUAAUUCCGAUAACGAACGAGAUCUUAACCUGCUAAUUAGCGGCGAAUACGUUAUAUUCUUAUGUGAAAUUGAAUAUAGCUGAA
rnacentral:rRNA from 1 species